rnacentral:rRNA from 1 species
GACGAACGCUGGCGGCGUGCUUAACACAUGCAAGUCGAACGGAAAGGCCCUGCUUUUGUGGGGUGCUCGAGUGGCGAACGGGUGAGUAACACGUGAGUAACCUGCCCUUGACUUUGGGAUAACUUCAGGAAACUGGGGCUAAUACCGGAUAGGAGCUCCUGCUGCAUGGUGGGGGUUGGAAAGUUUCGGCGGUUGGGGAUGGACUCGCGGCUUAUCAGCUUGUUGGUGGGGUAGUGGCUUACCAAGGCUUUGACGGGUAGCCGGCCUGGGAGGGUGACCGGCCACAUUGGGCCUGAGAGAGGGACCAGACUCCAACGGGAGGCAGCAGUGGAGAAUAUUGCACAAUGGGCGGAAGUCUGAUGCAGAGGCGCCGCGUGCGGGAUGACGGCCUUCGGGUUGUAAACCGCUUUCGCCUGUGACGAAGCGUGAGUGACGGUAAUGGGUAAAGAAGCACCGGCUAACUAUGUG